AUUGAACGCUGGCGGCAGGCCUAACACAUGCAAGUCGAGCGGUAGAGAGGAGCUUGCUUCUCUUGAGAGCGGCGGACGGGUGAGUAAUGCCUAGGAAUCUGCCUGGUAGUGGGGGAUAACGAUCGGAAACGGACGCUAAUACCGCAUACGUCCUACGGGAGAAAGUGGGGGAUCUUCGGACCUCACGCUAUCAGAUGAGCCUAGGGCGGAUUAGCUAGUUGGUGAGGCAAAGGCUCACCAAGGGGACGAUCCGUAACUGGUCUGAGAGGACGACAAGUCCCACUGGAACUGAGACACGGUCCAGACUCCUACGGGAGGCAGCAGUGGGGAAUAUUGGACAAUGGGCGAAAGCCUGAUCCAGCCAUGCCGCGUGUGUGAAGAAGGUCUUCGGAUUGUAAAGCACUUUUAGUUGGGAAGAAUAUCAGUAGCUUAAUACGUUGCUGAUUUGACGUUACCGACAGAAUAAGCACCGGCUAACUCUGUGCCAGCCGCCGCCGUAACAC
rnacentral:rRNA from 1 species